rnacentral:rRNA from 1 species
UACGUAGGGUGCAAGCGUUUAAUCGGAAUUACUGGGCGUAAAGCGUGCGCAGGCGGUUCGUUGUGUCGGUGGUGAAAGCCCCGGGCUUAACCUGGGAAUGGCCAUGGAAACUGGCGAACUGGAGUGUGGCAGAGGGGGGUGGAAUUCCGCGUGUAGCAGUGAAAUGCGUAGAGAUGCGGAGGAACGCCGAUGGCGAAGGCAGCCCCCCUGGGCUAGCACUGACGCUCAGGCACGAAAGCGUGGGGAGCAAACAGG